GUCUUCCAGACACACAGGUGGUUGCCCUUUACUGGCUCCUUGUUGGUUUCUUGAUGAAAUGGAAAGUUGAGCAGGAGACUUAUUUUGAACCCUAGGUUGCUCUCACGUUCUGUUCAUAGUAGUUUGACCAUUGGCUGUUUCAUGUGCUGUAUCGUUCAUGAAUUCUGACACUCGUCGCUUUUUUAGCACUAUCCUUUAUCUCUUCCCCGUUUUAUGCAAUCUUGAUCUCUUCCCCGUUUUAUGCAAUCUUGGCUGUUUUUGUGAUCCUUGUCUGUGUUGAGGUGUCAUUUACUUUUCUGCUAUCCUGUUUAUGGUUGAAUGAUAAGAUACUUCAGUCACCACUACAGUAAAUUAACUGAAAUCUCAUGUGUUACUGCAGUGGUAGUUCAAAUUGUAGCAAAGGGAUAGUGGUAGCAAUUAGGGGGAAAAAACUAGAAUCUUUAGUGUGGUAAAUAUGGCAACUGAGAGCCCUGUGAGAAUGGUGGAAGGUAGAAAAUGGUCAUCAACCAAGGAUGCUGCUAGUUAUGGAUCACCCUUAAAGUCGUCUAUUGCUGCUGAAGAAUUGGGGUUGCUUCUUAAAGGGCAUAGGAUGCACACAGAUCAAUCAGAAAGUGUUCCGAAUCGAAGUG
rnacentral:lncRNA from 1 species